ensembl:lncRNA
GUAGCCGCCCGCGUUCCCGGCAUGCCCCGGGGCGGCGGGGUUGGCUCUAACGAAUUUGAAUGAGGAGCCCCUGCGCUUUCGGCGCCAUUUUCGAGUGAUGCCUGAUCGCAUCAAUUUAGCGAGAGAGGCUGGUCACCCUAGUUCGGCUGGAGAACCCUAUGAGAAACCUGCCGAAAAAUAACCAAAAAAUCUUUAAAAAAUUCCUAUAGAUGGAGGCUGUUCGAGGAGCUUCUUUGGGGCUAGCGCCAUCGGUUUUGACCUUACUUAGAGGAGAACUGAUUCUGGAGAACAACUUAACUUCUGUGAUUGAAAAUCCCUAUAUUCUACCUGAAAAGAGAUAAGAAAAUUAAGGUUCUAACAAGUUAAGAUAGGCUGUACUGGUAUUAUGUGAUAACAAUUUGUUAGCUUCAUUUGAAGAAGCAUUCUUGACACGUUUUUUUAAGUUGUUGCUGAAUAAUUGCAAUUGUUGACAAUCUCUCCUACUUGGAGUAUGGAACUUAACCAAAACAAUUCAGGCAAGUACAUAGAGAAUGGGAGAGGAGGGGGGGAGGGGGGGGAAUUUCAGUUUAGGUUCAUUUUUUGCAGAGAUUAAAAGCUAGUUAAAAAUGAACAAAAUAGGGAAAUUUCUUAUAAACUAAAAGACAUGUUUCAUAUUGUUUUGCAUUUUAUACAUAACACAACUUAAUUGAAAGAGCUUUUCUUGAGUCCAUUCCUAAGAGAAUAUAUACUAUUUCCUACUCAAUAUUUCUUACUCAGAACUGUCAACAUUUGGGAUACUUGGAUUAUUUUUUAUAAAUCAUGACCUCUCUAUACAUUAAUUAUCUUCACUUAAACCUGCAUUCUAAAUCUCUUAAUUACAUUUCUUGCCUUUUGCAGGUGGAUAUUAUCGUCCUGAUGGGAAAAAAAGCCUUGUCUCGCGUGUUUCAGUAUCUCAUUGAUUUAAAGAAAGUAAAAAUUAGUGUCUCACUGUUUUGAGAGAGCUUUGGCUCUUUGAAACAUUUAGGUAGAUUAAUGUACUUAUUGGAAAUGAAGUAAAGGUUAUGUUGAGUUAGUCUUAUCUACUAUUUUUAUAGAGGCUCCUUAUAUUAUUUAUGCUUAUUAAGAGGAGUUCUGAUUAGAUAAGCAUAUAUUCAAUUAGUUCUUAUUGUCCUGUUAAAAAAAUGACAUAAUAGCCCAUGACGUUUGCUUUUUUUUUUUUUAAUACUAUGUUUUUAUUUUGUUUAAUCCAAGGCAUCAGCAAAAUAAGUUAUCCUUAUUGACUUUUGCUUAUUUAUUUGUAAUUCUACUGAAAAAAUAAUUAUGAAAUUAAAUUGAAAACUUUGUAAUUCAUUCAAAAAUUAUCUUAUGUAUCAAAGAAACUUAGUUUGAAAUGACUAAUAGAUCUUUAGGUUAAUGUAUUGAAUGAAAUGAAUAAAAAAGGCAACAGGUAUUACUCAUUGUAAAUAAUCUUGGCUGCAUAGUCUAAAUAAUUUCUUCAAUUUUUGGUGAGGCAGUUGGGGUUGUGACCUUCACAGGGUCACACAGCGAGGAAGGGUUUGAGGUUGGAUGUGAUCUCAGAUCCUCCUGCUCCAGGGCUGGUAUUCUGUCCAUUGCAUCAUCUAUCUGGCCCCUUAAUUUGUAAUUAAUAUAGCUAGACUACUACCUAGUACUAUAAUAACCCAUCCUUUGACAGAGAAAAUAGUGGACACGAAUAGGGGAAUUUUCAGUGUAUUAAGAUUUAUUAUGAAUUUGUACUUUUUAAAAUGUUAUUGUAUCAGAAUCAAAAUUAUACUCAACUAUUUUCAUCUUCCAACUUAUAAGAUAACAAGGGACAAACAAAUGACUUUACAUAGACUACCAAAAAAUUAAUUUUAGAUUGUAUAAAAAUGUUUGUUUUAGUAUCUAAGACAAUGGGAUAAAGAAUUUACUGAAAUAAUCCACAAAUUUUGUUCUCUUACAACAGAAUUUUAUAUUUAUUUAGAAACCAUAUAUGCCCUUUUUUAUUUAGUCUUUUUUUUUUUUUUUUUUUUUGCUGCUGUUAUUUAAUUCUGUAGUUGUUUGCUUAUUUUUAAAAACUUAGUUGUUUCCAUUUGGGAAGCUAAACACUCAAAUUUUGUAGAUUGGAAAUGGCUAAAGCAUAUCAAUCAUUUUAAAAUUAGAAAAUUUUGUUAUUCGUUGAGUUUAGUCAUGCCCAACUUUUCAUGACUCAUUUUGGGUUUUCUUAUUAAAGAUAUUGCCAUUUCCUUCUCCAGCUCAUUUUACAGAUAAGGAACGGUAGCAAGCAGGAUAAAGUGACUUAGAAUCACAGUCAGUAAAUAACCCAGCAUGCUAUUCAGAAUAGUUUUAAUUGCCUCCUUAAAUUGUAGUCUAGAUUCAGUCAUACCUGAGCACUUUGUAAUUUUAUGAAUUCACUUGCAAAAGUAUGGUGCUGGUUUCAAGAGAGAAAUUUUCUUUUAGAAUAAGAUAUGUUAUUUAGAAACAUUGUUGUCAUUUGUUACUCAAAUUUUUUCAUUUUCUUUGAAUACUUUUCUCUGACAUUUUUUACUAGUAAAGAUAAUUUUGUAUAGAAUUAGAUUUGUUUUAAUGUAUCUUGUAGAAUAUACUUCUAGAUGACUCUUAAUUCAUGAUUCUUUGAACUAAAGAAGAACUCAACUUUUUCAUGUCUAGGCUCAUCUCUGAAUGUAUUUUUUAAAGUAUUAAAAUAUAUUUUUUAUCUGUAUUACUAUUCUGGCAUUUCUAUUCUUGUCAGUUUUUUUAAAAAAUUAAACACUUAACAUAUUUAUUAACAAAAUCAUUUCAUAAACUACAGUCUUAACUGUCAAUUCUCCUGGAUGUAAAAAAUUAAAGUAAUAUGUAAAUUAUUUUGCAUCUGGCAUUAACUUCAAAUUACUGGACUAUUUUUUGUCUCAUACUUGGCCAUAAAUUUUCUUACUAUAGAUAAGUUUGUUGUCUAAUUUGUUGUUGUGAAAUUUAAUGUUUCAGCCACAUUAAUAUAUGAUGGGUAGGGUGCGGGAGGAAGAUGGGAAUAGAUCCAGAAGCUUUUGUACUGAAAGUUUUUGUACAGAAGUUUUCAUAUUGAAAACUGUUUCUAACUCAUGUAUUUUUUUUUUAUUUAAUAGCCUUUUAUUUACAGGAUAUAUGCAUGGGUAACUUUACAGCAUUAACAAUUGCCAAACCUCUUGUUCCAAUUUUUCUAACUCAUGUAUUUUUAAAAACUGUGUUUGAACAGGAUUAUGUAUGUUGUUGCACAAAUUUUCUUCUGCCUUUGUAAUAUAUUAUACAUUUUUCCUUUGCUAUUUUUGAUAAAUUAAAGGCAGUAAGACCACAUGGGAAAUUCCUCAUGUCAAUUUGAAUUUGGCAUGGGGAAUUGGACUUUUUUUAGAUAUCUCUUAACUGGAUUAUGGAUUUUUAAAAAUGUUUUCACAGUGAAAACUUAGUUUUCCAACCUUGAUGGAGUCACAUUUCCACUGAUGGUGAAACAUCAUAACCUAUCAAUCACUUUGAAGAUUUCCCUAAAAUAUAUUAGGUUUUAUUAAGAAAUAUCCUUACUAUUAAAAGUGUGCAUAAAAGAAAAAAAUCUUGUUUUCAAGAACAUAACUUCCAACUGAUAUGUCUAUAAUAUAUACAUGUGUGGUUACUAUACAACAUUAAAAACAUGGAAUCUCUUUCAGUGGAAACUAACCUUAUAAUUGGCUAGUUUAAUUUUUCUCAGGAAAAGUUUAGUGCUUUGACACUAACCCAUUUUUGGAAUCCUGUCAUUUUAUGGGUGUUAGGAGUUCCAUUUACAAAUACUAUAAAUUUAGAAAAUUAUUUAGGAUUAUUCAAAAUCAAGAAGAAACAAAAAUAAGUAUGAGAAGGUAUUUAGCAAAUAGUAACUCUGCAAGAACUUGGAACUCUCUAGACUUAAUGCAGUCUUUUUGGGGCAUUGCUGCUCAGUUAACCCCCUAACUGUUCCCUCAUGUAUACCCUACUGUUGCCACCUGGCACAAACUUAAUAGAACUAAAAUCAAACUAGCCCAGAACUAAUUGUAUACAGUGAAUAGUGUUUUAUGCCAUUCAAAAGCAGAUCAACAACUCAUGCAUAAUAUGAACAUUGUGGGAAAUUGUACCCAUACUCAAAAUAUCUCCUUCCUGACAUUGUUGAUGAUGAUUCUGUUGCAUGAUCUCUAUCUACUAUGACAAGGCUAUUUGUACUCAGAACAGUGUAUGUGCACUGGGGACAGAAGACUGGAUUUUGAGUCAGAAAAACUAUAUGAGAACUCUGGCUCAUAUUUACUCUGCCUUUAUGAUUUGGAGCAAGUUAUAAAUCGGACCUAAAAUGGGAAUUUUCGUUCAAUGACAUCUGAGAGGGCUUUCUACUCAAACUUCUAUGCCCUAUGGCUAUUAACAAAAUUCAUUUAAUACCUACUGAAUGAAACAACCCCUACUUUCAAAGAGCUGAAGCAAAUACUUUUUGUUAUAUUUAACCUAUUUCUAUGAUGUAUUCCUUUUUAGAUUUUGAGCUCCUUAACAGUAGGGGGAAAUGUCUUAUAUACACAUUUGUUUUCUUGCCAUUUAGUAUAGUACUUUACACAUAAUAAAUGCUUAAAUAUUAAUUGAAUAAAAUAAGUUCUUCCCUUUUAUACUGAUCAUGUAGUCUACAUUAUAGUGAAACUAAAGUAGUGUUCCCUUAAUGUGAGAUUUCCUUAUGUUUUAGGGAGAACUUUUAAAUUAAUAUUAAAAAAUAUAAGAAAAAAAUUUCCUUUUGUUUAUAUUAGCCAAAAAAUAAAGUGGGCUGCUUUUGGAGACAGUGAAUUUAUAGGUUCAUCUAUACAGUGAUUUGCUCAUGGGCACACAGGGAGUACAGCUCAAAAUUGAAUCCAGAUCUCUUUUCACAGUGUUGUCAUGCUGAUAUCCAUAAACCAUUUUGGCACAAGACAACUCACUGGAGAGACUAAAAGAAUCUAGUUUUGAUUUUGAGAAAUAAGAUUUAACCUAUCAUAAUAGCAACUAAUGAAUGAUAGAAACGUACAGCAGGAAUGAGGAAAGCCUAUAGGGGAUCACUGAUAGUCAUGAAGGAACUAGUCUAGUUAUAUAACAACUCUUUUUGUAAAUUGGAAAUAAAUCAAGAGAGCAAGUGGAACAUCCAUUUCGCUAACUUGUAAGAUCUUUCAGUGUGAUUUCAGUCAAACUUUCCAUCAGUGUAGUUAAAUUGUUUUACUACCCAUGUAGUGUCCAUCUUGAUUUUUUAUUUUGUGUAGGCUGCACCCUCUGCCCAAAAUACAUUGUUUUCAGUUUCUGCCUCUUAAAAAUUUUAACUUCCUUCCAAAUGUAAACUGAAGUGUUACUAUCUACAAGAAAGUUUCCCUGAUACUCUUUAAUUUUUUUUUUACAUUAAAUAAAUCAGUUUAAUUCAUUCUGCCUAUUAGAAUAUAAGUUCUUUGAAGGUGACGACUUUUCUUUUUCUAUUUAUAUUCCUAGGACUUUGCUAUUAAUGUUUAUUGAAUUAUAUUUUCUGUCUUGUAUUUUAAUUUUAUUCCUUGGUAAAUUUUGGCUAACAGCCCAAGUAACUACAUAAUUAAAUGAUUGUUACAGGCUGUGAAUGCCCAAGGUAUAAAAAAUAUGAUAGAAGUUACAAUGAUUAUAUUGUUGAUCAGGACCCAGGGUAGUAUGCUAUAGCAACUAAUGAAUGAAUUUUAAGAAAGGUACAUAGUAAUUUCAAAGACUUCUUAAAAGAAUAAAGAACAUAAACUAAUUGCAGUAAAAGUUUAGAAUGAAUUAACACAUAUUAAAUACUUGCUGUUAAAGAACUUUAUUAUGAAAUAGUUCUAUAGCUUGCAUAAGCUGCAUUGACUCAAUUGGAAUUAAGAAAAAGGAUAGCUACUUUAGGGAUAAUCAGGAUAUGUGUAUCCUGGGGUCCUAGAGAAUUAGAAAGUGUGAGAGGAUUUAAAAAUGGAGACCAGAAUGACAAAGGUGGUCACCUAUUUUAGCUUUUCUUCUCUUUCUUUUCUAUGUCCCUCUUCUAGGACCUUGAAUUCAGACUAGUUAUUCAGAUAUAUUUUAAGUAGAAUGAUUUGUAAGGCUAUUUUUAAAAAGCUACCAUUUUAUAACAUUUUCUGUUGCUAGAUGUUUCUCCAAUGUUGAUUUAUACAAAGACAUUUUUGGAAAAAUAGCUGUUAGAGAUUGGGUGCUACACGCAUCCAGAAAUUAAGCUAGAAAGCAAUUUCAUAUUAAACUAAAAUUUUGAAUUCUAAUUUUUAUUACUUUAUUGCUUAGGUGAGUCCUGACACUGAGAGGCAGGGAUAGCAUUUUAAACCUAAAAAGAAAUUAGUUAACCUAACCAAAUCCUAAACAGUGGUGAAAAAAUCAACAUAUAUCUUGUUAGGUUUUCACAAAACCACUGUGUACUUUUCUAAUAUAUAACAAUCUUGUAAAAUCUUAGAAUUUGUGAUCUAGAAGAUUUGAAACUAAUGUUUCAUUUCAUACAUGAAGAAAAGGAGGCAUACAAAGAUUAAAUGAUUUGUUCAAUACACAUUGCUCACAUGAACUGUUAACUAUAUUCUUAGCACAAAAUUAGAUAUGCCAUUUUCUGAUUAUCUUUUUUUUUCAGAUCCCCUGAAGAAUGGAAAAAUGGGCUGGAGAAUGAUUAUUAAGAGAAGGUUGUAUGACUGGUUAUUCAAAGAAAGAAAAGGACUUUACCGUUCUGAAUACAUGCCACCACUAUUCAUGGGUGGGAAAGACUUGGUAGGAGUUUUUUAUCCAGGUACUUCUAGUUGAGUAACAGCAUGCACGUUUUUCAUGUUACUUUAAAAAAAAAACAAAAACACAUUUGAAUGAUAAGAAAAUAAUCAUUGUUAGUACAAAUAAACUAUUACAAGCAUUUGAUUUCAUUUACAAUAAAUGACUACUUCAAAAGUUGUAUUUUUUAAAAAGCUCUUCUGCCAAUUAAGUGGCUUACACAUUGGUUAAAUUUGCCCAAUGCACAAUUAGAGACUAAAACAUUUGGGAGAGGUAGCAUGGAUCUGGAGUCAGAAGUCAAGAGUUUUAAAUCUCUUCUAGUAUUUAACUGUCCUGGGACAAGCCAUAUAAACUAUAAAAUCCCAGUUUCUGUAACACAGAAGUUCUACGAAAAUUACUUCAUGCGAGAAUCAACAUGUAUAGCAUCUCUACCAAGUGACAGCAUUAAUUUAAAUAUGUCCAGGAAUGGGAAGAUAAUUAUAAUUCAAAGCAAUUUAUUGAGACAUUUUUUGUUGUUAGGAAGUUCUUACAUUGACCAGAAAUAAAACUUGUUUCCUUGUAAUUUCAUGCUUUUAUAAUACUCAUUACUUAUUUUUACAUUGAAUGAAACUAACUUGCUUUACAGAAAAGAAUUUUCGAAAGCAGCUAAAUGGUCCGAUGAAUAGUGUUAGAUUUAGAGUCCCCAAAAACUUGAGCUCAAAUUUGGCUUCAAUAUUUACUGGUUGUGUUACACCAAGCAAUCACUUAACCUGUUUGCUUUGGUUUCCUCAUCUAUAAAGUGGGGGUAAUAAUAGCAUCUAUCGCCAAAAGUAGUUGUAAGGAUCAAAUGGAAUAAUUGUAAAGUCACUAGCACAUGUUACUUGUUAUAAUACAUCUUCCAUAUCAUUUUUUCCUAUACAGUUCUUUUCCCCUUAUCUUUUAUUACUAGUUACUUUUUACCUUGUUUUGAAUUUUAAUAAAUGAGGAAGAAAGUAGAGCCAGGAGAGGUGAAAUGACUUGGCCAGAGACUGACUAUAGCUUCAGAAUGAGAUUCUCUGACUCCAAAUCCAGUGUCUUUUUCUGCUUCUUAUUCCUGGAUGUAUUUCAGUUUGUCAGUGUCUGCUUAAAAUGUGCCAAGGGCAGGAUAUAAGCCAGUAAAUAGCUACAUAACAAUUGAAUUGAAAAUUGGAAACAAUUCUGGCUUUUAAUAUUGUACAUAGGAGAAAAUUGUCUUUUUAAUUUUAUAUUGCAGUGUGUAAUGCUUGGUCAUUAGCAUCACCAGAACAUCAGAGAUUCUCAAGAAAAAUAGGUAAUAGUCAUUUAGCUAAUUGCAGAGACAGAAUGCCUAAAGUAACAUAUUCAAUGAGUGACAGCUUAAAUUUAAACAGAGAUUCUCUAAUCCUAUAUCCAGUAUUCUUCCUACUCUUUAUCACACUGUCUUUAUUCAAUAGGCAUUUGAUUAACAAUCUAACAUUCACUUGAAUUAGAGAUAAAAUAUGGAAAGACAAAUCAGUUCUUUAUAAACUUAGGACAUUAAGCUAGAUAAUCUCAAAGUGAAGCCUUCCAGAUCUAAAGUUCUUUGAUUAUUUAAAAAGCUAACUUUGUAUAACCUUAAGGUCACAAUUGAUAGAUUUCUUUUUUUACUAACAUUUUGUGCUUUAACUGAAAUUAAGCAAAUUCAAAGGAUAUUUUGUAUCAGAAUUUUUAAUUGAUAAUUUUCUUACAUUUUCAGUAGCAUUGGUGAUAGUUUAUACAACUUAAAGAAUAAAGUCAGUUUUAUUGAAAGGAAGACAAGUUUUCAUAUCCCAAAAGAAACAUGAAAUGUGUUAUUUAUUAGCUAAUUAUAUUUUAAAUAUAUAGUACACAAUUCAAUCUGUAUGGCAGCAUUAGUUUUUUGGGGGAAUAGACUUAAUUAUAUUCUACUACUAGCUGAAUAAAGAGGUACACACUACCUUGUCAUUUGAGAAUGAAUUCCUCUGCUAUGGUAACCCAGGAAAUUAAAAAAAAAAAAAAGUCACUCAGUCCCCCUACUCUUCCUCUACCGAUAAUGGUAUUGUCUGAACAAAGAACAGAAGGCGCUAAAAAAGAAUUUUUUUUUUUUGAGAGCCUCUAUAAACUAAUGUAGCUCCUGGUAUUCUUAAGGUCAUAUCUUGGUCCAGUUACCAAUAGAUAAUCUUCCACUGACAGAAAUUAUUCAUGUCAAUCUUGAUAUUCCUACUAUAAUUUAAACCAGAAGAAGGAAGUUGAUGCUAAAUGGAAGAAUUCAGCAGGUUCUCAAUGAAGAAGGAAAUGAAGGAAUUAUUGGUAGCAUUAGUUAUAUUAUAAGGUAAGAAGAAGCAAUUCAUAGAAUAUUUAGUCCUCUGGCACUGUAGUGCUUAUGAUAAGUAUUUGUAAAAAGUCUCCCAAUGCAAUACUGGUAUGUAUACCAGUAUUCUUUUGAAGAUAAAAUAGAGAAAUAAUGGAAGUUCAUUACUGACAAGCAAAAGUGAGAAAAGAGGAUUAAGAAAGCAAUUAGUGAUUAAAAAAAAAAAAAUGAGAAUAAGUGCCACAGAUGACACAGAAGCCUCAUGCCUAUCUAAACAUCUUUGAAAAAUAAUUGAUAGAUUUUGGACAUUGCAAGCACCUAAAUAACCCCACAAAGAAAUAAAAUUGAUUAUAUUUUAGCUGAAAAAGAUGACUCACAGCUGGCAUUAUAGUGAUUCUUAAAUCAUCUGUCCAUAUGGUCAUAUCAAUGACUUGGAGAAAAAAUCAAAAUCGUUACAAAGCUAGAAAAACUAAAAUUUAAAAGUUUUAGUGAAACUCAUUUCUAUUGAAUUUCAACAAUUUAUUGAUAAGAAAAACCAAAACUUGUAUGAAUUAAUGGCAAAGGAAAGUUCAUAGAAUCAGAACAAUUUAUUCCAGAACAGCAAUAUUGUGAAGAUAAAUUUGAAAGACCAGUGUCAUAAUAAAUAUAAUAAUUUCUAAAUUGCCAUAGCAGAGAAUAAAGCCUAAAAAGCAACUUCAUCAGAAAACGUUUGAUGUAAAAGGUAGCCCACAGCACCAUUUUAGAACUUCAGGCUUGUUCUAAGAAAUCAUAUGGAAAGAUAAUGGAAGAUUAUAAACUAAAUCACCUCAUAAAGCAGAAAAGAAUGGAGAUUUAAACUAAUUGAAGCGAAAGCUUGAGUGAAAGAAGCAAUUGAACAGUUUACCCUGAUGGCAUUGUGGGACUAAACUUGGAAAGAGGAUAAUGAACAGAAGAAAAAUAGAAAUCCAAAAAGUUUUAUUAGAAGCCUUUCUUCACUAUCAAGGGCAGUAGAACUUUUUUUUUUAUAAGAAGGUGGAAAUAUCACAAAAAAUCAUAAAGGAGUAAGGAAAGGAAUAAGCAUGUAUAUAGCUCCUUAUAUGUGCCAAGCAUUGUGCUGGUGCUUUUACAAAUAUUUCACUUGUCAUAAUCUGCAAUUUUUAUGGGGGUAGGGGGAAGGGAACUAUAAGUCAGAGAGGUAUUAAGUGUCUGAAGCUUAUGUUCAAAUUUUGAUCUAUCAUAACUAUAUCUGCAUCCUACCAGAUGCAUCAGAAGUGGCAAAAAGCAACAUAAUUGGCUGACAUGCACAUUAUAUUUGCAUGCUAGAGAUAACAUUUUUAAGAAUAUUGAAAAAUCCGUGGUGUCUUUUAAGUCUUAACAUAAAUAAGGCAUUGAAGAACUGAAAGAAUGUCAUAAAUUCUUUGGGAAUGUAUGCUAAAAAUAAUUGACUGUUCUGAUGUCCAGGCUGAGAUAUCAGAAGGCAAUAGUUAAGGCACUCUACUGGUAUCCUAGUAUUUCUAGCAUAUUCGGUGAACCCUCAGCUGUAAACUUGAACAAGAGUUAGCUGUAAUAGAAUAGAUUUGGUUUGGAUUAUCUUUAUUGUUGGAGGAAGCAUACAACAUGUUAGCUGACAGCCUUCUGAAAAGAUAACUUGUAUAGUGUUUUUAUUAAAAUAUGAAAAGCUGAUUUUAGCUAGAGUCAGGUUUUUCCUAGACAGUGUUUAUUCUUGCAUAAACAUAUAUCAAAGCAUUUUACCCUUAUGAAUUUAUAUUAUGUAUAUGUAGAAAGCCAUAAGGAAUAGCAUUUUUAUUACAUCUAUUUAAAAAUAGAAAGGACAGGGAAUACCUUCUUAUAAAAAUAUUUUCAAUAUAGGGGCAGCCAAAUGACUCAGAGAUUAGAGAACUGGCCCUGAAGUUGGGUGUGUAUGGGUAUGCAUGUAUAGCUUUUUUGAGAUUAAAAACCAUUAUUCCACUGUAAUAGUAUUUACCAGAAAAGUUACAAUCUCAUCUAUAUCCACUUAGUCUUAACUGAUAAAAAAUUUUAACUUAACUGAUAAAGAAUUUCACAAUGAAAGGCUUCGAACAAAAUUUACUGAUGUCUGGCUUAUCCUAUUAUGUUUUUAGUAAAUUGCUUUUGCAUAGGAAUGUCAGAAAGCAUGAUAGAUCAAAACAUGAGGAAGCUUUAUAUGAACUUAAAAAAAGCCUUAGGUGAAAAGUCCUAAACAGUACAUAUGAAUUUCAUACUUGGUAGAGUCGAUUUCCAUGUGUUAAAUGACUGAUCUUCAGCCAUAUAUUACCAUUUUCCCUCCACGAUUAAAUGUAUUCCUUUUAGCACACAUACUGGAAAUGAAGAUUUUAACACAAAAAUUGAAUGUGAUAAAAUUACUAUUUUUCUUUAGAGUAAGAUUAGUUAACUUUUUCAAAGAGCCAUUAAAAAGUAGGUUCAGACUAACCAUAGAAACCAUCAGUUAUAUAAUAUAGAUUCUAAAACAGUUCACAGUUGUUGAAAGAUGAUCAAGUGGUGAAUUCUCUGAGCAUCUGAAGAAUGCAUAGACUUCAUUGCUCUGGAAAUGCUCUGGAAAAUGUUAUCCAUUAUAGCAACCUGAAUGAGUAAACUAUUAAAAACGGGAUUAGACUAGCUUUUGUGCUUGAUUUGAAUCUCUGAAACUUUUAGUUGUAAUUUUCUUGGGAGGGAAAAAAAAGUAUGGGAAGAAAGGUUGACAAAAUAGAAAGUUCAAGGAAACACUUAACCUUCCUCUUGGCUUCUGAACCUCAAGGUGCUAUUGUGAGUAAAAAAUGAUUAUGUACUCCAGUGAUAAAAAGUUUAGUGUUCAAAUGUACUUAAGAGGUAAUCCAUUUUAGUCCAUAAAUGGAAAUUAAGUAACACUUAAGUUUUAGGAAGUUCUUUUCACAGCACAAACCUGUUUCUCUUUAGCUUCUAUCCAUUGCUUAUAGUUUUGAUUUCUGGGGUCCAAACAAGUCCAAUUCAGCAAAUGUAUAUUAAAUGAUUAUUGUUUGCAAACCAAGCUCCUUGGUAAGGGAUUAUAUCUUAUCUAAACUAUCUCUUUUAACCACCAACAGUUUCACUUGAGAUUUUUGUUUUUUAACUUAAUCAGAUAUUGAAGAUAUCCUUCAAGUACCUAUUUGAAUUUUAAGCAAAUUUGUUACCCUCAUAUACAACUAAAACGUGUUAAUGAAAGUUACAAAGAAUGAAAGGUAGUCCUUUUUAUUUUUUUUAUUCUUGUCUCUAUUAAGUUAUUGUAUAAACAAAAACCUCAUGAAUAUUUGUCGAAAGUAAAGUAAACAUUUAAUGAAAGGUAAAAAUGCCCUAAGAACUUCAGCUUAAUAAAUUAACAUUUAUUAAUCAUACCCAUUACAAAGAACAACUCAAAGAUGGCUACUUGGUCUCUGUCCUUGAACAUAAAAUCCAAAAGAAAAAGUAAUACAUGUUCACAUAUAACACAGCUGCCACCUUAAGAAUCAGGAUUAUUGGAAUAAGUUGCUAAUUUGUCUCAGUUUCCUUAAACACAGAUUUGUGUGACUACACUUUGAAAGCAAUCCCAAUAAGUUUCCUGUUGUUAGGAAAAAGCACAAACCUUUUUAGCUCCUAAAUGUAUAUUCUCCCAUUCUGCAGUCUAGACAAACACCUCUCUUCCUGACAGUUUCAUCUCCUGUUUGGGUGCUUUUAUAUUAAUUAUUUUGUAUAUGCGAAAGGUGCUAAUAAUCCUGGCAAGAAAUAAAAUGAGUACAACUUUACCUAAUUUUAUAGUAAAAGCAUCUGAAUCAUUUAAUAGAAAACCUGGAACUAGGGGAGCCUAUUAAGGAGAGAGUAACUACUCUUGAGUGGGACAUGGUAAAGGAAAGGCUUUGUUUUUUUUUGUUGUUGUUGUUGUUUUUUUUUUUUUUUUUAACCACAGGAGCAAAUAAUUUUGUCAUAUUGUCAUAGUAUGUUUACCAACCAUCUAACUCGGUGAAUUAGACAGUGCAAGUGAAAAUUGAGAAAGGGAGUGUUGACAUGGCAGAAUCAGAGAGGUGUCAUAAGAAUUGAGGUUUGAAGAAUAAAAAUGUUUGAGCCUGUUGUAAAAUGAAAUGUUAAAAUAUGGCAAGUAGUUGAGUUAGAGGGAAAACUUAAAAUAUUAGAAAUAAAAUAAUAUGAAUCUGGAAAAUUAAGAGUAGAACCAAACCAGAAAAGUCUUAAAUUCCACUCUUUAAGAAGUUUGCACUUUGCCUCAAUGAUAAGAGAGGGGAACUAUUGAAGGUUUUUUAAGAAAAUGGUAACACACAUGACUUAGUAAGAUUCUGUUGAAAGCUAUGUCAGAAGAAAAUGGAAGCAGACACCACUGAUUUAAGCUGAGCUUUGCUAUAAAUGCAAAUAUAUAAUUCAUAUAUACUUGUAAAAUUAUAUUAUCAUAUAUAUAUAUCUUAAAUUAUAUUGAUUAGUAGUAAAAAUGAUGUGGGUUAUGAUUACAUCACUUUAAAGUUAUAAUUCAUUAAAACAAAAAUUAUAUCUUAUUUAUAGUUAUUCCCAAGUAAGGAUGAUCUGGAUUCCUUUUUAAAGCUAUCAUAUUGGUAAGUAACAAGAUCAGAAGGGACAAAUUUAUGAGAAAGUGAUUCAGGAGAAAGAAGAGAGAUAACUAGAUUACAAAGAAGCUUCCUACUUGUGUAUCAUAAACACUUUAAAAAAAUUGAUAGACUAGAUAUGGCAAGCAACAAACAAUAUUACAAAGAAUUAAUUUGACUUAGCAGACAAGAAAUGAUUUAGGGAAGUGGGAAUUAAUCCUGAGUUGUUUAUCUCAGAAUAGUUAAACCAGGCACUUCAGAGCUAAGAUCAGAAUUUAUAACAAAAAUAAGAAAAGAUGAAUUGCAUAGAAAGAGAACCAAUACUAGAGAAAAUAUAUCUUAGCCCUUACUGAUUUCCCCCUCCUCAAAAAUAAAUGAUCAAAAAAAAAGCUACCAAUCUAUGCUUACUCUGCUACUUUUGCAAAAUCUUUUGAGGGUUAUAUAGACACAAAUUAUACUAUUUAGUAAGAAUAUUAAGAUUUUUACAAGUUUUUAAUAAAUGAACUCAUCUUUGCUAUCUCACAACUAGCCAGAUGUUGAGAAUGUUAAAUGCCAUUGUAACUUUUGAUUAUAGAAAAAUAUUGCUGAAUAGAACAAAACACCUUACAGGCUCUUUUACUACAAAGUAGCUCUCAAGCCUCUAAUAACAAGAAUAUUCAAGAUUCCUUCCAAAUAAUCGUAUUCAGUGCCUCUCUGGUCAUAAACAUUUAGUUGUGGCUAAUUUUUUAUGACCCUGUGGACCAUGCUGUCAAUGUGGUUUUCUAUUUCCCUAAAUGGAUCAAGGCAAAUAAGAGGUUAAGUGACUUAUCCAAGGUAGAACAGUAAGUCUAAGGCUGGAUUUGGUAUCAGGUCUUACUUAUUCAUGGCUCAGCUCUCUGCUGAGCUAUCUAGCUGCCCCAAACACCGAAAAAGGCAUAAAACAUGCUUGCCAAAAGUUGGCUGGUAUAAGAAAUACAGCACAGAUUGUAGAUUAAGGAUUUCCCAUGGCAUUACAUUACAUUGCCGCAAAUCCCCCAAAUUUUCAAAGUAGCUAAAAAUCUAAAGUUAAUUCAGGUCAACUUGAAAGAACAGAUUUUACAGUGAAAAGAAUAGGAGUAACAUGGUCAUAGUUUUUUUAAAGGCCAAAAUCUGGGUUAUAUUCGACCUCAGUCCCAUCAAGUAAAUAAAAAUGUGCAGUGAAGAUUUUGAGACAAGAUGAUUCUGAAAUCAGGCAACAUAGACCAAUUGUCAUGCUUUUGAUUAUAAAUUUCAACUUUCAUCUGUGAAUAUUUGUUAAAUAUUACAUUCUUUGAAAUAUUAAAAAGCAUAAAUAAUGUAAAAGCAUCAAGUUCAAAUAAUAAAAUUGUCAGCCCAUUGAUAAGUUUACCCCAUGAAGUUUAGAUGUCUUGUGUCUUCAAUGAAAAGAAAUCACAAGUGACUUAGUAAUCUGUUUGACCAUUUUACUCUUCAUUGAACAGACCAUACAACUAAGUACCAUUUUGAAAAUUUUUAAAACUCAUAAAGUUGAUUAUUUUUCCGUCUUAAAAAAUUGCAAAAAUUAAUACUACUUGAUUUAUAGAUAAAUUGUAAGUUACUGACCAGGAAUAAUAUUUAGUAGGUAUAGAGCAGAGCUGUUAAAAAAUGUCUAAUGGGUCAAUUUCUUUAUUAGGAGGACCCUUUAACCUUGCAUUGAAAGUUUUCAGUCUUGUACUAAAGUUUUUCUCUUUUGGAAGGAUUUUAAAUGAAGGUGUUUCUUGGAGGCUGAGAGUAAUCCCAUUGUACAUUAGCUUAAUUUAGAUUGCUUUCCUCCUGAUCCCAGUUCCUGUCUUACCUCUCCAAGAAUAUGGGAGAAAGGCAAGGAAAAAAUUUUAAGGUGAUUUUUCCAGAAAACAGGAUUUGGCUGAGAUUUGAAGGAAGCCAGAGAAGAAGAAUAUUUUAAAUAUUUACACACACACACACACACAAAAAAAAAUUUUUUUUUUUUUUUUUACAAAAGCAUAGAGUUAGAAUAUGACAUAUUCAAGGAUUUAAUAAGACUAUAGAGAGAUUCUGGGACAUGUGAGGAUCAAGUAUAAGAUGUGUAUGAAAGAUUGGAAAGUGAGGAAGGGUUGAGUUUGUAAAGGUAUUUGAAGGACAUGAUAAUUGGUGCAGGAGGAAAUCUGGAACCAUACUGAAACUUAUUGAAUAGUGGACCCAGCAGCCUAAGGUACUUCCAAAGAAGAAGAAAGUAUAAAAUAAUUUGGUGCUUGUUGAUUCAGCUGGAAUAUUUUUAGUAAUCUUGUAGGUUUCAGGUUUACUUCUAACAGAAUUUUGACAAUUUUACUAAUGCUUAUUGAAAAAAACUAAUCACUACUACAAAUAAUCUUUUUGAAAUUUAGAAAUUGGUCCUCAGAUUACAGAUGUGCAGCCCAUCAUUAGACCUUUUGGUGGCCUUUUGCUUUGCUGUCAUAGCCUUUUACAACCCAGGCUUUAAAAGUUCUUAAGACAUAAGGAUGUGACUUUAAUGAAGGAUGCAUUAAAAGGAAGAGCAAGUAUGUAAGGCUAUUUGGAAAUUAAUAUCAAAAGUGAAAAAAUCCAAUAUCCAUGAAAUCAGCUGUAUUAUCAUUUAUUUUAUUUUAAGUCAAAAAUCAAAGAAACUAGUAUAAGAGAAGACUUUGGUUCUGACAUAUGCCAGUUAUGAAAUCUUGGGAAGAGUCAUAUAACCUAAAUCUCAAUUUCUUCUUUGAAAUAGCGAACCUAGAUUAGGUGAUCUAUAGGCCCCUACUAACUCUAACAUUCUUUUAAAAUUGAGAAGAGAUAAGAAAAGUGAUUCUUAAUUUUCCUAAAAUUCCUAAAUUUUGAAAUAUCUUUUGAAAAAUUCAUUCUAACCAACAAUUUAAAUUAGUUCAAGAGCAAGAAAUUGUGACUAAAUAUUGGAAGUUAUAAAAUCGAGUAGAAAACUUGGAGUAAGAUAAUCAGUUUUUUAAAUAUUAAGAUAAGCAAAAUUAACAUCCUUGUGUGCCAUCAAGAAACAACAAAGUGGCAAAAUCUUGAAUUGAAAUUCAUUCUUUGCCACAUAUUCAAAUACAUUAUAGGAAAAUUUCCAUCCAUAGUGUUCUUUUUACUGGAAAUUGGACUACAGAUUUAACAGCAGUCUCUAAGAAAGAUGUUACAGGCAGCUUAAGAAAGUGAAGUAUAUAGUAUGUUUCCAGGAUAAUGUGACAUUUGUUUGAAACUUAUUUAUGCAGCACUAAUGAUGUACAGAUUAACUUUAAAACGCUAAUGUUGUUUGAAAUGUAUCUUCUAGAAAGGAGCUGCUGAUGCCUAUAAAGAUUAUGACCCAUAUCAAAUACAGUAAUAGUUCAUAUUUCUAUUGUACUUUAAGGUUUAGAAAGCAUUUGUAUUUUAAAUCAAGCAUAGAAGUGAAAAGGUAGACUAUCUAAACAAAUUAUAACAGUGAAAUUUGUGACUAAAGGAGCCUUAGUUGCUUAUAAACCUUUAAAUCUGACAUUUAGAAGAUUUAAGCUCAGAGUGGAAUGGAAAGGCUACAACAAUUAUACAACUCUACAAAGUCCAUAGCCUUAAUCAUAAAGACCAAAAAUAAUAAAAUCAGAAUUUUUGAAAGUUUAUCAUUCAAACUAUACAACCAUUUUGGGGGCCUAGACAUAAUUAACAGGAGUGCACCUUUACCAAGGUUUUUGCCAGGUGCCAUGCAAGACAAUACAAAAACAAUACAAAGAUAAAAAUAAAGCUGACACUGCCCUCAAGAGCCUUACAAAUUCAACUGAUUUUUUUUUCCCAGAGGCAACACCAAACUGCAAUGAAUAAACUCUGCAUAAUUUAUUCCACUGUGCAGAUAAUCUCAAUUUCAUUUGACCCCUUUUGCCAGUCCCCAGCGUUCAGAUCCAGAAUCAAAAUUAUUGAACACUAAGCCUUGGACUUGACUGAUUUCUCAUGAUAAAAUGAAACAUUUAAUUUUACCAUUCAGUGUUGGGGGUUUUCAAAGUUCGGGAACUUUUGAGGCUCUUAUUCCAGCCUAGAGACAAUAUUCUUGACUGUCUCAUCCAUCUUGGUAAGGAGGAAUAGCUAUUAGACAUUUUAUUUUUUUGGUUGAGUACCAUGUGCUUAGCCCCUGCUUGAUUUCAUGUCAAAAAUGGCUCAUAAGUACAGCAUAGGACUUUGAAUAAUCUUUAGAGACUCAGAAAUUUUUACUGUCAUCAAUAUUAGCUCUUGACAAGUUAUCAUUCCAUGACUUGGUUAAGUAAAAUAUAAUAGCUUUGGAUAACUUUAGUAAUGCAGGUUUGAUUAUCUGGGAUAGAAACAAGUAUUCUAGUAAUAAGUGAACUUUAAUUGUGAAAUUCUUCAUUCAAAGUAUUUUUCUUGAGUACCUACACAUAUAUUCACAGCUUUGUACUAGGUAUCCCUAGGGAAGAUUAUAAAAGAAUUUAAUCUUCAGAGAAUUCGUGAUUCAGUUAGAGAAAUAAGGUUGAUAAAUAUGAAAAGUGCAAAUACUAAAUGCAAUGAUGAUAAUCCCUAAUUUUUUUAUAGUUCACAAAUACAUAUGGGACAGAUAUUUGCUCAGAUUGAAGCCUAGAGAAGUCAAGUGAUUUGGCUAAGAUCACAUAACUUGGUGUGUGGACUGAAAUUCCAGUUCAGCUAGGUGGCGCAGUGGAUAGAGCACCCAGCCCUGAAGUCAGGCACUUAACAUUUCCUAGUUGUGUGACCCUGGGCAAGUCACUUAAUCCCAACUGCCUCAGCAAAAAAAAAAUGACUUGGAGGUAAAAUUUAAGAAAUGUGUAAUGCACAAAGUUUAAUAGUUCACAGAAUGCUUAGGCUUUGGUGUGGACCAAAAUGUGUCCACUAAAAUAAUCCUUUAAGGUAAUAGUCUUUCCAUAUGAUGCUGUUCUGCACGAGUUUUCUUUAUUUUGUCAUAGUUGAGAUGUAGGCCUGGUUUCUGGGAAGAGAAUGCCACAAAAGGAUUUAGAAACCUUUGUUUAUCACAUUGUCAUGUAUGAAGUGAUUCUCACUUUGCCUCCUAGGGCUACAAGUGAAAUUUCACAAUAUUUCUGAAGUAACUCUUAAGAGAGCUUGGUUCCACUUUGCCUCACUGCAAAGAAUUCCUGGAUGCCGAAUCUGACGAUAUUACAAGGAAACAUUUCAGAGAAUUAAAAAAGUUCCUGUUGGCAUUGCCACCAUUCCAAGCUUUAAGUCUCAAGAACACAGUUCUUCGAAAGUGAGGACUGCUCACACUCCCCAAUGUGGCUGGGGAAACCUGGAGAAGGCAACAGCAUCCAGCAAAAUUUAUGAGAGCAUCUCACACCAGUAAAAGGUGUGAGGUAGCCCAAGCCAGUGGAAGGUGCAUCUGCAGCAGAUUCUUGUCCUCGGAGGAUAGUAGGCCACCUUGUGAAAAGAUUCCUGAUCCUGGAACAGUAAGUGACUUUGGGGACUUUGAGUGGGGGACUAGACUGCUGAUGCUGCCUGUAUCACCUGCAUACGUCUGUUCUAAUAAAAAUUUGCUUGGUGCCUUAUGGCCAGCAUGUGUGUAACUAGAUUAACACCAAAUUUUUCCAAAAAGGUGGAUUUCUUAGGUUCCUGGGUAUAUAAGUUAAGGGAAACAAUUCUCAAAAGUUGGAUCAUCAAUGCCACAAUUAUUUCUGUUUCAAGGGUAAUACAAGACUGAUUAGAUAGGAGAAAAGAUGGAGACAUACAGACCAGUAGAAGUCUGUUGCAGUAAGGCUAGAAUGAAGUUUUGAGGAUAAAUGAUCUUAAAAAUGGAAGCAUAAAUCCAAGAGAAGAAAUGACAAAGAUUCAAGAAAAUUAUCUAAGAAGACUCAGUAAUAGACUAAAUAUAGGAGAAGAAUUCCCAGGUAUCUAGACUUGAAGAUCAGGAGAAGAACCAGUACUCCUGAAAGAAAUGUCACAAUUAGCAAAAGAAUAUAUCUUUAAGAAGGAAUCCAAUUUUAAAUGUUAAGUAAUGGUAGAACAUACCAGAAGAAUUAUCUUAUAGAUAUUAGAAAAGGUAGAGCACAUCUAAAAGGGGAACUUAUAGACAUUGAUUUGGAAAUUACUCCCCUAGAUGUUAAAAGCUUCAUUGAGGACUACCAGUAGAGAUAAUUACUUCCUUUCUCCAAAGAGAGAGGAAAGAGAAGGAAUUUAGUCACUAAAAUAUAAAAGGCCAAUUGAGAAUACCACAUAAGCAAUCCAAAAUUGAAUUUUAAAAUUUCCCUUUUUUUCUUAGACUAUCAUAUUUCAUAGACUGUGCCUUCUAAAAAAUUUCUACAAUAAUAUCAUUUAUACAGUUAGACUCACAGAUACU